CAGCUAUAGGUCUGUGGUUGAAAGUUCAUGCCAGUCGCAGGCGAAAGAAUCCACGUAAGUUAAUCCAAAAGGGGAUUGACGAUCAUGGUGCGGCUUAGAAGUAAGUCCUGCCGACAUUAAAGUCGAGAGAGUUAGUAGUACGGCAAUCCCAAGCGAACCCUCCAGCAGGCGAGUGUGGGGUCAAAGACCAGGUCAGCUAUAGCUA
rnacentral:ncRNA from 1 species